AAUCAACGCUGGCGGCGUGCCUCAGACAUGCAAGUCGAACGCGAAAAGUCCCCUUCGGGGGAGUGAUUAGAGUGGCGCACGGGUGAGUAACACGUAGGUAAUCUACCUUCGAGUGGGGAAGUAAACUCAGGGAAACGUUGAGCUAAUACCGCAUAAUGCAGCGGCACCACAUGGUGACAGUUGUUAAAGCAUUUAUGCGCUUGAAGAGGAGCCUGCGGCGGAUUAGCUAGUUGGUAAGGUAAUGGCUUACCAAGGCUACGAUCUGUAACCGGCCUGAGAGGCGGACGGUCACACUGACACUGAAU
rnacentral:rRNA from 1 species